CAGAAAAUAAUUUUGAGGUAAAAACUGUGACUACUGGACAAAAUGUGAACCUAAGCUGCCCUCGCCAAACCUCAGCUCUCUACCAAGAAACUCUGUACUGGAUCCGACUGGUUUCUGGAAACUGGCCAGAAUUUCUUGGAGCAACAUUUAACUUUGAGUUUGAUGAAGAGUCAAAGAUUCCUCGAAUUCAGACCAAACAAGAGCAAGGAGAAUUUCUUCUUAUUAUUAAUGAGGCUUAUCGAAACGACACUGGACUUUACUACUGUGUUAAAGUCAGACAACUUGACUUCAUAUUUAUGAAUGGAACAUUUCUACAAAUUAGAGGUAAAUGCAGUGUUUCAGUAUUUUAGAAAAUCAUACUCUUACUUGUGAGUAAUAUUCUUCUGGUUGUGAGAGUAAAACAUUUUUUUUUUCAGGAGAAGAAUCAAAUGUAACUGUUUUACUGAAAGAUUCUCCAUCUGGGGCCAUUCAGUCAGAGACCCAAGAGACUCUUCAGUGUUCAGUUCUCUCUUACUCUGAGAGGAAAACUUGUCCAGCAGAUCACAGAGUGUACUGGUUCAAAGCUGGAUCAGAUCAUUCUCAUCCCAAUUUACUUUAUUUACAAGAAAACAGUGGAGAUGAGUGUAAAAGGAUUCCUGAAACUGCUUCUGCACAAAAAUGUUUUUACAACUUUUCGGAGACCUCUGAUGCUGGGAUUUACAACUGCGCUGUGGCCGCAUGUGGACAGAUAUUAUUUGGAAACGAAGCAAAACGUUCUGGCCCCGACUCAGAGUAUUUUUCAAAAAUAUUACUUCCUUCCUUGGGCUCGGCUUUGGUUAUAUGUCUUGUUGUAAUAUCUUGGCUCAUUUAUAAAAUCAAGAAGAAAAAGUGUGGCUGUUGCAAUGGUCCUGCAACAAUUACUGGUGAUAACCAAAGUCAAAAGAGAGAAGAGAAUUUGGUUUAUUCUGCACCAACAUUUAACAAGAACAAAGCUAAAAAGGGAGAAAGAAGGAAUGUAAGAACGGCUCAAGAGGAGACGGUCUACACUGAUGUUAGAACAUUUCGAUAAAUUUACUUUGGUCUGAAACGAUGAAUUAGUUGUUGCUUCUCAUUCUUAACACAGAUGUACUUUUAAUUAAGUGUAGUCCCUACACUAAAUUUUUAACUUGGGUUUAACAUACAUAUA